CCUACGGGUGGCUGCAGUAAGGAAUAUUGGUCAAUGGACGAAAGUCUGAACCAGCCAUGCCGCGUGGAGGAUGAAGGUCCUCUGGAUUGUAAACUUCUUUUAUAUGGGACGAAAAAAGGCCUUUCCAGGUCGUCUGACGGUACCAUAUGAAUAAGCACCGGCUAACUCCGUGCCAGCAGCCGCGGUCAUACGGAGGGUGCAAGCGUUAUCCGGAUACAGGGUGUUUAGGGGGUGCGUUGAGUCAGUGGUGAAAUCCCCGAGCUUAACUUGGGAACUGCCAUUGAUACUAUCAGUCUUGAAUACCGGGGAGGUCAGCGGAAUAUGUCAUGUAGCGGUGAAAUGCUUAGAUAUGACAUAGAACACCAAUUGCGAAGGCAGCUGGCUACACGAGUAUUGACACUGAGGCACGAAAGCGUGGGGAUCAAACAGGAUUAGAUACCCCUGUAGUC
rnacentral:rRNA from 1 species